AGGGUAAUAGUUAAGUAUAACAUUUGACUUGCAAUCAAAAAGUAUUGAUUCAUCAAUUUAUCUUU
rnacentral:tRNA from 1 species